GAAGUUCUGAGGUGUACGAUAUAUUCUCAAUGUGUUGACCGAACAAAUAAUUACUAUAUUGGGAUCCUUGAUUUAUGUUGGAUAGCAAGCCAUGUCAUGUGGAAGCUAGCAAGACAUUCUGUGGAGCCCACCUGCUAAUACUGCGGGUUCAAAACUAGUAGAAUAACAUAAACCGGCACCAUCGGAUUUUCU
rfam:Jeotgalibaca sp. PTS2502, complete genome.